AACGAACGCUGGCGGCGCGCCUAAUACAUGCAAGUCGAGCGAGAAGACGUAGCAAUACGUUUGUAAAGCGGCGAACGGGUGAGGAAUACAUGGGUAACCUACCCUCGAGUGGGGAAUAACUAGCCGAAAGGUUAGCUAAUACCGCGUACGCUCCUUGGACUUCGGUUCAGGGAGGAAAGCGAUACCGUGGGUAUCGCGCUCUUGGAUGGGCUCAUGUCCUAUCAGCUUGUUGGUGAGGAACGGCUCACCAAGGCUUCGACGGGUAGCUGGUCUGAGAGGACGAUCAGCCACACUGGCACUGCGACACGGGCCAGACUCCUACGGGAGGCAGCAAGUAAGGAAUAUUGCGCAAUGGGCGAAAGCCUGACGCAGCGACGCCGCGUGGGGGA
rnacentral:rRNA from 1 species